CCAACUCUCAUGACCUGUGUUUGAUACCUGCAUGUCCCCAACUUUAUUUUUGUGUUUUUUUUCUACUUUUGUUUGUUGGAGUUGUUUUCCUUUUAUGAUAUCGGGCGCCAUGUUUGGAAAAGAUAGGAUCAUGGUUGAGUUGGUUGAGGCUCAUGUCUCCCAACUCCCAUGACCCGAGUUUAACACUUGUACGCCACACAAUUUAUUUAUUUUAAGGAUUUUUUUU
rnacentral:lncRNA from 1 species